GAUUCAUUUUCCUUUAUUCAGUUAAAAAUAGUACAAUAUUUCCUGAUUUUAAAACCACAUUUUAAAAAUUAUUUACACUAUUCAAAACCACACCAGGAAAUGCACCAAAAAAUAAUACUCUAUAAAUAUUCAGCAAGUCCUUUAUCCUUGGCUUAUUUGGCUGCUUUCAUUUCAUUAAACACAUCAUUGCAAUACUAGUGAGUUAAUGCCAUAAUCCAUUAUCUUCCAUCUUUUAAGUCUGUAGCCAUUUCUUAAUUUACCACCACAUUGACAUUCCAAG
rnacentral:lncRNA from 1 species